GAAACGCUUGAGCUUGGGCUGCAGGGUGCCCACCACGUACUGGAUGAUCUCCUCCUCCUCAGCGUCCACAUACAGCGUCUGGUACAGGUCCCGCUUGCGCCACAGGAACUGGUCCAGCGGCUCGCCCUGCUUCUGCGGCAGGUCCAACUCCCGCUGGAUGGCCUCCCGGGACAGCGUGCCCUCACUGUACUGCAGGAACUCCUUCUUGAACUCCACCCAGUUCUUCACCGAGCCCUGCUUGAACUCCCACCACUUCUUGGCCGGCCCGUUCAUGUGGUUCUGGAUCUGAGACAGCCAGUACUCCUCGGAGCCACCCACCUGGCGCAGGUAGUCCUCCAGGUGGCUGAGGAACUCCCGCGGGUCCUCGAAGACCUGCGUGUCCACGCCGGGGCUCAGCUGCCCGUCCUCCCCCGGCCCCCAGGGCGGGUACUGCUGGGCUUCCACUUCCUCCUGCCCAGGCAGCUGGCCGGCAGCCGGUGGAGAGGUAAUGGCAUAGGGGCUGACAGUGUAGUCGUAGUUGUCUGCCUCCUGGCAGUAGCUCUCGGGACCCCCGACGCCCACGGAGACGGUGUGGCGCGCUGGGUCGCUGCCCACCGGGUACUUGCCGCCCCCGGACUCCAGGCGGUCAGCCCACCUCUCCAGCCGGUAGAAGACCUCCCGCCACACGUGCAUCUCCCGCUUGACCCAGCGCUCCAGGUUGGCGAUGGUCUCCUGGCAGCGGCUCAGGCAGGCCUUGAUGGACUUCUUCCAGCGCUGCGAGUCGCUGGUGGGCACGUACCCAUCCAGGUUGCUCUCCAGCUUGCCCACGGACCGGUGCAGCCCCUUCAGCUCCCGCUCCACCUGCUUGGACACUUCAGCGAGCAGGUGCCGGUGGGUCCUCCGCACGUGCUCCAGCAUCUCCGCCCGGCACUUACCGAUCUGCAAGAUCACGUGGCGGCCGGCCCGCUGCGGGGCCCGGGGGAGGCGUGGAGGCCGCCGGUCGUCCUGUGGUCCAACUCCAUCGGCUUGCAGGUUGCGGCGGGGCUCGCUCGGAUAGGCGGGAGAGGGAGGCUGCAAAAUCCUCUUGGGGAUGGCGAGGGGCUGCUGGGGGCCGGCUGCGCGGAGCUGCGAGGCGCGGCGGAC
rnacentral:lncRNA from 1 species